GGAGGGGUUCCCGAGUGGCCAAAGGGAUCAGACUGUAAAUCUGACGCGCAAGCUUCGGUGGUUCGAAUCCACCCCCCUCCA
rnacentral:tRNA from 1 species